rnacentral:tRNA from 1 species
CCGCUUUUAGCUCAGUGGUCGAGCGUUAGCUUUGGAAGCCACAGGUCGGGGGUUCGAACCCACCAGGGCACA